rnacentral:rRNA from 1 species
UACGUAAGGGUGCAAGCGUUAAUCGGAAUUACUGGGCGUAAAGCGUGCGCAGGCGGUUUUGUAAGUCUGUCGUGAAAGCCCCGGGCUCAACCUGGGAAUUGCGAUGGAGACUGCAAGGCUUGAAUCUGGCAGAGGGGGGGUAGAAUUCCACGUGUAGCAGUGAAAUGCGUAGAGAUGUGGAGGAACACCGAUGGCGAAGGCAGCCCCCUGGGUCAAGAUUGACGCUCAUGCACGAAAGCGUGGGGAGCAAACAGG